GCUUGUAGUGUCGUGAUGUGUGCUUGCAGCCGUGUGUUUGGGCUUUAUAAGUUCGUUCUUUAUUCUAUGUUGCGGGACGGUGUGGGUGUGGUCCAUGUUGACCGUACAGGUGGCAGUUAUGCAACCGAGGGAUGGUCCUGUUGAAGUUUCCGGCGGUAUGCGGUUUUCAGCGGUCACGCCAGUUGCAGGAGUGUCACUCGACGAGGUUACGAGCUUGAAGCUGUGGUCAGAUUCCUCGUUGGCGUUCCGUAAUCCUCUUCGCACGGACGCGGGAUCUGAUGUGCAUAUCUGCAGUUUAUGGAUACAUGUAAAAGACUCAGCAUCAAGUGCAAGUGAACGGUCCCACAGGCCCGGAGUCGAUCAUGCAAAUAGAUUCGCUGCACACAUUUGUGACCAGAAAAGAUAUGCCACAUGAAAUGGCAUGCAAGGAAGUGUUUAAAAUAUUGCACAAUUAAUAAAACGCCUACGCUAUUAAUAAGGGUUGAUGCACUCGUUAUGCAAAACGGAGGUGAGGCGUGCAGACAGGACACAAGAGUAGAGUAUUUACAAGCAAACAACACGAGCGCCGCCCACUUCCCUACUCUUGUGUCCUGUCUGGGCGCCUCACCUCUGUUUUGCAUAAUGAAUCCUUACCAACUAGCUCAGCUUUCUGUCGUUCUAAGUCUCGAUGCACUCGAUUUCGUCCGCAUUAGGCACUCGCCUCUUGAUUACUUCGUGGCGCAGAAAUACUCGGCAUCAGGCUGUUUUUCUGCUGUGGCCUUUGUAGAAGCAUGAUUGUUCAAAGUGCAACAAUUAAACAGAUUCUUUGAGUU